rnacentral:tRNA from 1 species
GAACUUUUAGCUUAAGUUUGUUUAAAGUUUACUUGUGAUAUAAGUAAGAGUUUUGGUUAAAAUCCAAAAAAGUUCA